rnacentral:rRNA from 1 species
CAAAGUGGCUAUACCACCCUGAAAGAGCCCGAUCUCGUCUGAUCUUGGAAGCUAAGCAGGGUCGGGCCUGGUUAGUACUUGGA